UAGGGAAUCUUCCACAAUGGACGCAAGUCUGAUGGAGCAACGCCGCGUGAGUGAAGAAGGCUUUCGGGUCGUAAAACUCUGUUAUUGAAGAAGAACGUGUGUGACAGUAACUGGUCAUGCAGUGACGGUAUUCAAUCAGAAAGUCACGGCUAACUACGUGCCAGCAGCCGCGGUAAUACGUAGGUGGCAAGCGUUGUCCGGAUUUAUUGGGCGUAAAGCGAGUGCAGGCGGUCUUUUAAGUCUGAUGUGAAAGCCUUCGGCUUAACCGAAGAAGGGCAUCGGAAACUGGGAGACUUGAGUGCAGAAGAGGAGAGUGGAACUCCGAUGUAGUNGCGGUGAAAUGCGUAGAUAUAUGG
rnacentral:rRNA from 1 species